rnacentral:rRNA from 1 species
AGUGGUUGUAGACGCGAAACCUUGCGAUCUACCCUUGAGCAGGUUGAAGGUUGGGUAAAACCAACUGGAGGACCGAACGAAUAAGCGUUGAAAAGCUUCUCGAUGACUUGAGGGUAGGGGUGAAAGGCUAAUCAAGCUGGGAAAUAGCUCGUACUCCCCGAAAUGCCUUUUGGGGCAGCGUUGUAAUAAAGAGUCUACUGGAGGUAGAGCUACUGAUUGGAUGCGGGGGCUUCACCGCCUACCAAAUCCUGACAAACUCCGAAUGCCAGUAGUAUGAUUUACAGCAGUGAGUGACUGGGUGCUAAUGUCCAGUCGCAAAAGAGGAACAACUCAGACCAGCAACUAAGGUCCCGAAGAAUAUGCUAAGUUGAUCUAACGAUGUUUUGUUGCAGAGACAGCUAGGAUGUUAGCUUGGAAGCAGCUAUUCAUUCAAAGAGUGCGUAACAGCUCACUAGUCGAGCGACAGAGCGUGGAUAAUAAACGGGCAUCAAGCAUAUCACCGAAGUUCUGGGCGCGAGAGCGCGGUAGGGGAGCAUUCCAUUCAGCGUCGAAGCAGUUUCGUGAGGAAUUGUGGAGCGUAUGGAAAAGCAAAUGUAGGCAUGAGUAACGAUAAUGCGGGAGAGUAACCCGCACACCGCAAGACCAAGGUUUCCUGAUCAACGCUAAUCGGAUCAGGGUUAGUCGGGUCCUAAGGGUAAGCCGAACGGCGAUCUCGAUGGAUAAUCGGUUAAUAUUCCGAUACUAACAUAUACCUCGAUGGAGAGACGAAGGAACGUAAGUGCCGCCACCUGACGGAAUAGGUGGUUAAAGGGCGUAGGUAUAGGGGCAGAUUAAGAGUUAGUCCUUGCUGAAACCUGACAGUACAGAGAGCCUACGGGCAAUUUGAUAGAGCACCCAAGUCGACUUCCGAGAAAAUCUUCUAAGUUAUAGUAUAUGUUACCCGUACCGUAAACCGACACAGGUGGUCGAGGAGAGUAUCCUAAGGUGCUCGAGUGAAUCACGGUUAAGGAACUAGGCAAAUUAACCCCGUAACUUCGGGAAAAGGGGUCCCUAUGAAAGUAGGGCGCAGCGAAGAGGUCCAGGCGACUGUUUAUCAAAAACACAGGGCUCUGCAAAUUCGAAAGAAGACGUAUAGGGCCUGACACCUGCCCGGUGCUGGAAGGUUAAGAGGGGAUGUCAUCGCAAGAGAAGCAUUGAAUCGAAGCCCCAGUAAACGGCGGCCGUAACUAUAACGGUCCUAAGGUAGCGAAAUUCCUUGUCGGGUAAGUUCCGACCUGCACGAAUGGUGUAACGAUCUGGACACUGUCUCAACCGUGAGCUCGGUGAAAUUGUAGUCCCGGUGAUGAUGCCGGGUACCCGCAACGGGACGAAAAGACCCCGUGAACCUUUACUAUAGCUUAACGCUGAAUUUGGGUACACAAUGUGUAGGAUAGGCCGGAGGCUUUGAAGCGGGCACGCCAGUGUUCGUGGAGCCGACGUUGAAAUACGGCCCUUUGUGUAUUUGAGUUCUAACCCUGCGAAGGGGACACCGUUUGGUGGGUAGUUUGACUGGGGUGGUCGCCUCCAAAAGCGUAACGGAGGCUUCCCAAGGUACCCUCAGCACGAAUGGUAACCGUGCGCGGAGUGCAAUAGCAUAAGGGUGCUUGACUGUGAGACAUACAAGUCGACCAGGUACGAAAGUAGGGUAUAGUGAUCCGGUGGUUCUGCGUGGACUGGCCAUCGCUCAAAGGAUAAAAGGUACUCCGGGGAUAACAGGCUGAUCGCCGCCAAGAGCUCAUAUCGACGCGGCGGUUUGGCACCUCGAUGUCGGCUCGUCACAUCCUGGGGCUGGAGAAGGUCCCAAGGGUUCGGCUGUUCGCCGAUUAAAGUGGCACGCGAGCUGGGUUCAGAACGUCGUGAGACAGUUCGGUCUCUAUCUGUUGCGGGCGUAGGAAGAUUGAGGGGUCCUGACUUUAGUACGAGAGGACCGAGUUGGACGAACCUCCGGUGUAUCGGUUAUGCUGCCAAGUGUACUGCCGAGUAGCCGCGUUCGGUCUGGAUAAGCGCUGAAAGCAUCUAAGCGCGAAGCCAUCCCCAAGAUAAGUCUUCCCUUGAGGGGCGUAGGAGACUACUACGUUGAUAGGCUGCAGGUGUAAAGACAGCAAUGUCAAAGCCGAGCAGUACUAAUUACCCGAUAGGCUUUCUUUUU